rnacentral:rRNA from 1 species
CUCAAAGGACUUGACGGUAUCCCAUAUCGACCUAGAGGAGCCUGUCCUAUAAUCGAUACCCCCCGCUCCACCCAACCUUAACUAGCACAACAGCAGCCUAUAUACCGCCGUCGAUCAGCCUACCCUAUGAAGGUCUAACAGUAGACACAAUAGCCCAACCGCUAAUACGUCAGGUCAAGGUGUAGCUAAUGUUAUGGAAGAGAUUGGCUACAUUUUUUAUGAUAAAAAACACGAAAAGUAUUAUGAAACAAUACAUGAAGGUGAAUUUAGUAGUAAAAUAGAUAAGAGUGUCUAUUUUAACAACGCUCUGGGAUGCGUACACACCGCCCGU